CCCCCUAAACCCAACAAUUUUGGCGGCCUUUAAAAAACCUAAAAGGAGUUCGCCUGGUAAUCGACAGUCCCCGAGUAAUUUACUCUCCCUAAAAUCAAGUUAGUUUGUAUACCGCCGUCUAGAUGGUCUCCACAAAGGCCUUCUAAAAUAGAAAGUCCUGUUAAGACAGGCCAUGGCACAGCUUAUGGGGUAGUCAUUGCGAUCUACAGUAGAAUAGAUUUAUAGAUUUCAUCUUGUAAAUAUUUGUCUGAAAGAGGAUUUUACAGUAACAGAGGCUUAUUCCUUCCCCUGUGACCUUUUUACACAGGUGCACAUAUCGCCCGUCGCUCGCGGGA
rnacentral:rRNA from 1 species